CACGAAAUAAUGAUUUUUCUUCUGCAUCCUCCAUUCUUCAAUUUUUACUUUAACAAUCUAACAAGUAUCUGUAUAAGCAGAAUUACAAAGCAUAGAAAGUGAAAGUAUUCUAUGAGCCUAAAGAGAUAUGUGAAAUGUGAAAUUAAGAGAAGAGAAGGAAGAACGAAGAAAUGGAAAAGAAUAAAGAGGAAUAAUGGUGAAUCUCAAUUACUACAUCUUGGAAAUCUCGAAUCUCUUUAGAAAGUGAACUUCACUGGCCGUUAGGUCGAGGCUUACAAUGCUUAUUAAUUAAUUCAAUAACAAGAGGAGCGUACACGCUGUUCCAUUUCUUUCGGUGAAAUCCUUCUCGUGAUUACAAGCGAGUCACGCCGCUUAACGAUGCCGUUAAUUGACCCGCCCGCAAAGAGUGCUUCUACCUCUCCCUCUUUCUUCUUUCUUCUUCUUCUACGCGAAAUCCACGUGCGGUAUUUAUUCCAUGAUCGCAAACGAGCCUCGCGACUUACAACGUCAUUAAUUGUCUGUACGGAAAGACAACAAGUUCACAAGCUUUCUGUCAACGUUGUGCACGUUAAACCUGUUCCAU